CUGAAGUCUUGUCCAAGCCUGUUUUUCACAGCUGGCUAAUUCAGAUAUUUGAAGGACAAAGAUGCAAAGAGCACAAGGGAGCAGAAGCCUGGGCACCGGGGCAGAGGGACUUCAGACUGCAAUGUUCCAGAGAGGCCAUCCGGAGCAGGUGUUAUCAAGGAGGAGAGGAGAAGGAAGAUUUUGGGGGUCCCUUCUUACUCAGGCGGAGGAGUAGAGUGCACCUCAGACCUCCAUUUGCAGACAAGCUGCAGGCCAGCCCCACCCCUCAGAGGCCUUAUAAAAGGUGCUAAGUUCCUGUCCUGUGUAGGAACUUCCAGGGUCUAGAAUUAUGUGUUUAAUGAAGAUUGCCAGUGACUGAAAGCAGGCGACAAUUGCUGAGGAAAUCAAGCUUUUGAAAUCUCGGGGCCUGCCACACUCCGACUCCCUGAACUUUGAGACCAGCAGAGUCCAACAGUGUUCCAGAGACUGUGAGCUGCAGAUUCCAGCAAGGCAAAACCCCUUCAGAAGGCCUGGUGUGUGCCUUGGGCUCUGGCCUGGUGGAUUACCCACCACUACUCGACAAACCUUUACUGAUUCUAGCUUAUCCCCUCCUCUCUGAAUGCUCACUUGACCACAUGACCAUGUGAGGAAAUCUAACCUAUGGACACUUUUGUUUUUUUUUCUGGUGGUGCUGACCAGUUCAGAGGACUUCAGGAGCACAGACGAACAGGGUAUCUACAGUCUGAAUAGCUAAAUACAAUCAGUACUGGGCAAAUCACAGGACCAGGAGGAUAUGUGACUAACGCUGGCUUGGCUCUGUGUCAAAUGGUCUAUUAGCUGAUGACAUCACAAUGAUGCUACAUGUGUUUAAGUUGCUCCUGGAAGGAAAACAAAAUCUGAACCUAAGAGAUACAAAGCAGUAUUAUAUGAAUAUAUAAAACCUCAGUUGUGGAAAACUGAGCUCUGGGCUAUAUACCCUUGUGUUUCAAUAAGCUCAAUUUUCCAGGAUAUGUUACCAGCUGUGCUGACUAGUUUUAUGUCAACUUGAUACAAGCUAGAGUCACUGAAGAGGAGGUGACCUCAAUUAAGAAAAUGCCUCCAUAAGACUGGGCUGUAGGCAAGCCUGUAGGGCAUUUCUUAUUUAGAGGUUGAUGGGGGAGGGCCCAGCCCAUUGUGGGUGGGGCCAUCCUGGGCUGGUGGCUGAGUGAGCCAUGUGGAGCAAGCCAGUAAGCAGCAUGACCUCUGCUGCAGCUCCUGCUUCCAUGUUCCUGCCCUGACUCCCCUCAGUGGUGGACUGUUACCUGGAAAUAAAAGCUGAAAUAAACUCUUUCCUCCCCAAGUUGUUUUUAGUUUCACCACAGCAAUAAUAACCCUACACCAACAGAGGCAGAAAUACCAACAACUUUGACUCCGGAGAGCUGCAAGUUUCUGAGUCCCAAUACCUUAUCCCCAAGGUUUCUUUGCUGUUGGAAUGCCUUGGCAAAGGAGACAACCAUGACUGUUUCGUGGGUUUGAAAAGGAUUGAAGCACUUCUUUAAAAAAACAAACAAACAAACAAACAAACUUGAAGUAUCAUCAAUCAAACAUUGGGAGGAGUUCAAGUUUUAAAAAAUGGACUGCUGCUGGGCAGUGGUGGUGCACACCUUUAAUUCCAGCAAUCGGGAAGCAGAGGCAGGCAGAUCUCUGUGAGUUCGAGACCAGUCUGGUCUACAAGAGCUAGUUCCAGGACAGCCUCCAAAGGCACAGAGAAACCCUGUCCUGAAACCCACCCCCACAAAAUGAGCUGCCUCUGCUACAGGCCAUGACAACAUGUGCUGCAUGCUGCAAGAAAAAGUGCUAUAGAAAUAUGCAAGGGAAAUUGCAUCACAGAAUGCUCCGUAAGAGUUUCCUGAGGAAAUAGGUAAUUGAAUUUGACCUUAAAGAACGGAAUGUUAACAGGUAGAGGUGGA